CUUGUUUCGACAGAUUCGAAAAGUACAAGUGAAUCUAAAAACUAAGAAAAAGAAAUCGAAAAAAUUACCGACAAUGAAAAGAAAACAACUGGAGAGGGUUGCCAAAAAACAAACCAAAUCAAGCAAGCUUGUUCUGUCAAAUUCAAAAAACAAAACUGAAUCUAAAAAGGAACGUGAAUAAGUAAAGGUUAGCACUGUCGAAAGAAGAAGAGAGGCGCUGUAGCUAUUAAGAGAAAAAAGAUCAAAGAGAAAAAAUGAUGGAGUUCGAAAAACAAAUGUUGCUCCGGAUGACUUUGACUCGACAAAGGCGCGAAAUGAUUUAUCCGAGAU